GACGAACGCUGGCGGCGUGCUUAACACAUGCAAGUCGAACGGAAAGGCCCUGCUUUUGUGGGGUGCUCGAGUGGCGAACGGGUGAGUAACACGUGAGUAACCUGCCCUUGACUUUGGGAUAACUUCAGGAAACUGGGGCUAAUACCGGAUAGGAGCUCCUGCUGCAUGGUGGGGGUUGGAAAGUUUCGGCGGUUGGGGAUGGACUCGCGGCUUAUCAGCUUGUUGGUGGGGUAGUGGCUUACCAAGGCUUUGACGGGUAGCCGGCCUGAGAGGGUGAACGGCGACAUUGGGACUGCGAUACGGCGCAGACUCCUAGGGGCGGCAGCAGUGGGGAAUAUUGCACAAUGGGCGGAAGCCUGAUGCAGCAACGCCGCGUGCGGGAUGACGGCCUUCGGGUUGUAAACCGCUUUCGCCUGUGACGCAGCGUGAGUGACGGUAAUGGGUAAAGAGGCACCGGCUAACUACGUG
rnacentral:rRNA from 1 species